GGUAGGCCUAACACAUGCAAGUCGAACGGCAGCACAGGAGAGCUUGCUCUCUGGGUGGCGAGUGGCGGACGGGUGAGGAAUACAUCGGAAUCUACUUUUUCGUGGGGGAUAACGUAGGGAAACUUACGCUAAUACCGCAUACGACCUACGGGUGAAAGCAGGGGAUCUUCGGACCUUGCGCGAUUGAAUGAGCCGAUGUCGGAUUAGCUAGUUGGCGGGGUAAAGGCCCACCAAGGCGACGAUCCGUAGCUGGUCUGAGAGGAUGAUCAGCCACACUGGAACUGAGACACGGUCCAGACUCCUACGGGAGGCAGCAGUGGGGAAUAUUGGACAAUGGGCGCAAGCCUGAUCCAGCCAUACCGCGUGGGUGAAGAAGGCCUUCGGGUUGUAAAGCCCUUUUGUUGGGAAAGAAAUCCAGCUGGUUAAUACCCGGUUGGGAUGACGGUACCCAAAGAAUAAGCACCGGCUAACUUCGUGCCAGCAGCCGCGGUAAUACGAAGGGUGCAAGCGUUACUCGGAAUUACUGGGCGUAAAGCGUGCGUAGGUGGUCGUUUAAGUCCGUUGUGAAAGCCCUGGGCUCAACCUGGGAACUGCAGUGGAUACUGGGCGACUAGAAUGUGGUAGAGGGUAG
rnacentral:rRNA from 1 species